UUCGGGAGCCUAUACAGGUGUUGCAUGGCUGUCGUCAGCUCGUGUCGUGAGAUGUUCGGUUAAGUCCGCUAACGAGCGCAACCCUCGUCGUAUGUUAUAUGUGUCAUACGAGACUGCCGGUAAAAAGCCGGAGGAAGGUGAGGAUGAUGUCAAGUCAGCAUGACCUUUAUAUCCAGGGCUACACACACGCUACAAUGGUCUGUACAAUGGGUAGCCAAGCCGCGAGGCGGAGCCAAUCCUGAAAGCAGGCCUCAGUUCAGAUUGCAGUCUGCAACUCGACUGCAUGAAGCCGGAGUUGCUAGUAACCGCAGGUCAGCAAUACUGCGGUGAAUACGUUCCCGGGUCUU
rnacentral:rRNA from 1 species